AUUUUCAUAGUUUAAAAUAAAACAUUACACUGAAAAUGUAAAAAUAUAUUUUGAAAAUA
rnacentral:tRNA from 1 species